AAGUUAGGAAAAACUUCAAAUACCUCCCAUGUGGUUUCAUUUUUUCUUAUUUUAGUAUCUCGUGGUUUAAAAUGUAUCAAGUUAGUACUCUGUGGUUUCGCACUUUCUCACUUUAAUAUCCUACGGUUUAAAAACAACAAGGUACUAACUUGAUACAAAAAUAAAACCACAGGGUACUAACUUGAUACGAAAAUAAACCACAGAGUACUAACUUGAUACACUUUAAACUACAGGGCACUAAAGUGAGAAAGUGCGAAACUAUAGGGUACUAACUUAAUAUACUUUAAACUAUAGGGUACUAAAAUAAAAAAGUACGAAACGACAGGGAGGGUUUUUGAAGUUUUCCCCUCUACAAACGCUUCUGAUCCUCAUUUGAUUCGAAAGUUAUUCCCGCUGUUCAAUCAAACAUAAACCUUUUUAGUCGAAAUGUUUUUCUUUCGAUAAAAUUUUGCUAUUCUUGUCAGACUUUCAGAUUGUCCUAUAUAUAAAAUAUAGGGUUAAUUUCAUCCGUACCCCUCUAAAGUUUCAAAAUAUUAUAAAUAUCCCUACAAAUUUUGUUAUAUCAUAUUUACCCCUCCAAAUGCAUACUUUCUUUCAAAAAUGACGUUCCUGUUAUAC
rnacentral:lncRNA from 1 species